CUCUGCAAAUCUCUCUCUUUCUCUCUGCAUGCACAUAGAGAAGGGCCAGGUGAGGACACAAUGAGAAGGCGACCACCUACAAGCCAGGAACAGAGGUCUCACCAGAAACCAUCCCUGAAGGCACCUUGAUCUUGGACCUCCAGCCUCCAACACUGCGAGAAAGAAGAUUAGCCCUGAGCUAACAUCUGCCACCAAUCCUCCUCUUUGCUGAGGAAGACUGGCUCUGAACUAUCAUCUGUGUCCAUCUUCCUCUACUUCAUAUGUGAGAUGCCUGCCACAGCAUGGUUUGACAAGUGGUGUGUACGUCCACACGCAGGAUCUGAACUGGUGAACCCUGGGUCACUGAAGCAGAGCGUGUGAACUUAACUGCUGCGCCACUGGGCUGGCCCUGAAAGUGAAGGUUUGGAGAAAACCAAGCAUUGACAUCUGGAUUUGCAAUGUGGAGGUCAUUUGGUGUUCCUGUUUUCCCUGUAGAAUUAAGAGGAAAGAAAUUAGGUUAGAGUUAGGAGGAAAGAUGGGAUUUUGAAUGUUAUCAGAGAAAAGUGAGAAACUGUCAUGUAGUAGAGUGGGAGAAUAAUUUUACUAUGGCGCUUUCAUGGAAUUUCAAGCAGCAUUACCUCUGCCCUUGAGGUCUGUGGUCACAUAUUUCAAAUGAGACCAGCAUGGCUCUGAGAUUUUCUUUAGCAAUGUUCAGGUGCUCAGGUAAGGGCAGGAAGUAGGGGAUACUAGACGUUAACUAGAAUUGGGAUUUUGCCAAGUUAGUAUACUGGAGGAGAGAUGGAGAAAGAAGACAGUGUCAUGAUGGAUCAUGGAAUAGGCUAAGGAUGAAAAAAAUUAUGAAGGAGAUGAUGGAGCAAAAAAAAAAAAAAAAAAAAGAUGUCAAUAGAUUGGAGGUCCCAGGGAGGGAAAGGAUGGUUGGAGUUGGGAUAAAGAGGAUCCAACAAUAUCUUCGUUGUGGAGAAUGGGAUAUUAGAAACUGAGACUGGAAUGGUGUAGUUACUGAGUCAGGUAAUUUUGCUGAUGACAGACUGAGUUUCCCAGGGCAAAGCCGAAGAGGAAGUGGAGGUGAGAGAAUGGGAGAGUGUGAUAGACGAGGGUUUGUAUGGAAACGUAGCACAGGGAUCACAGUUCCGAGGGGCUUAGAGUCAGACUUCUCGUGUUUUCUGAAGGCAACCAGGGCCUGAGGAGCUAGUCUUAAUAGUGUCUUCGGAAGCCAUAACCAGAUCUAAUUAGAGCCUCCUUUUUAGUCAGCUCUUCUCAGCCUUGGCUGCACAUUAGAAUCAGCUGGGGGGGCUUAAAAACCUCCAGUGCCCAAGCUUCACCCCAGACUAAUUAAAUCAAAAUCUCUGGGGGUGGGGCUCAGACAGCAGCAGUUUUUAAAGCCCCCAGGUGAUUCCAACAUGCGGCCAAGGCUGGGAGCCACUUUUCUAAUUUGUGAAGCCAGAAGCAGCAGCAAGAAAGUUUGACUCUGGAGCCUGGGCUCUGCAUGCUAAAAUAGACCACUCCCAGCACUGGCUGCACAUCAGGCAGGAGUCGGAUUUGCCCUCCAACUGGGUCUGAUCAUCCAGUGGCCUAAAGUUUACGGGAGAAGCAAACCAAAUGACUGAAAACAGUCCAGGAGAUGUGUUUGUGUGCAUUCGCCAUAAAAAGUAAAGAAGAAAGUUUCCUCCCCAAGAACUGAACACACAGUCUGAGGUUCUGUUCUGCAGGACAGCAGGUUGCCACUGAAAUGGCAAUUGGUCAUAUAUACGUGGCUCUGAGGGCUCCUUAAGAACUUGGACUCUUCAGAAGGACGUCGGGUGAAAAGUUCACAGCACAAGUUUUCAGGUUCAUGAACAGUAGAAUCCCCUCACGACACCAAACAGUGAGGAGCAGUUGGACUGGCAGCUCACCCCGAGGCAGUAAUUUUAUGUCCCAGCCUUUAGUUUUGCUUGCUAACAACAUCAUCUAGGGGUUACGGGAGGGAAUUUGUGUAAUGCCUUUUCAUUGCAUGACGGAGAAGACCGCAGUGUACCGAGAUCAGAAAUUAGGCAACUGUACAGAAUGAGAAUCCAGGGAGCAGAGUCCUCAUCCAGAUUUUCAUAGCAUGAAGCACUGAAACCGCUCUGGGGCCGUGUUUUACUGGCUCGGAUCCCCACGUCCUAACCCGUCUGUGGAACUAUGGCCGUUUUAGAUGUGCUGAAGUGGACUGAAGAGAUCAAAUUCUACAGUACAGUUAAAUUCAUUUGGCUGUGGUAUCCAAUAACCCUCAUUUUAAUUUUUGUCUUUUGGGAAAAUAUAGAUUUGUAUUUAAUUUUAUUCUCACGUGUCUAGAGGCACCGUAAUGGAUGGAUUUUACAAUGAGAAAAUAAAAUAACGAGGCUAUAAAUAAACACAUUCGUCACUGCUGGGCAGUGAAUUCUACACAUAUAUUGCUAGAGUAAUGGCUUUGAAGGAAUAUGUUAAGCCUAGUGAAAAAUCAGAGAGUACAAUUCUACUAAAGUUAAAUUUAUUGCGCUUUUAGGCAGGCCCUCUAAACAGCUAUGAUCUAUUUGUAUUGUGUGGUGGACAGUCGUGCUGUUUUUUGUUCUUAAAUGACGAUGUGCUAUCAGUUGGCGUUUUCAUCCUGCUGCUUUAAUAUGCAUAAAUCCCAUUAUACUCUACGGCUGAUGCUUUUAAGAUGAGAUGGUAGCUUUCCUGACCCAUUGGUUGAUUUAUUUUAGCAACUGAGAAAGUAUCAAACAAUUGAAGUUGGAUCCUAUUAAUCUUUGCUUGCGUUCUAUCUUUUCUCUCUGUAGUUUUUAUUCUCAAAGCUGAGAAAGAAAGAGUGCUACCAAGUAUGCAUAUCCCAAAAAACGCUUUAAAUUGGAUGUGAAUCACAGUUUGGAAAUUGAUCGUGUUUCCUGGCACUGGGAUAAUGAAAAACUGCUUUAAAACGCAUUUAUCUGCCUUGCUUGAAAGAUCCUAUGUCAUAUUAAUAUGAAAGUUUUUGAGGUCUAAGUUUUUCUUUUUUUUGCAAUAAGUGUUUAUGUACCUGACAAAUAAUGUGCAAUGUUGCUUUGGGGAGAAGUAAACUGAUAUAUGUUCCAAUAAAUAGAUUUUAAUUUUCCAAGAAUUUAACUGGUUGAAUGUAGACCUGUCUUAUUUUUAGGUUGGAAUAUACUGACCGUAGGGAAAUGUUGCUCUAGAUGUGGUCUUUGGCCUAGGUUCCCUUUUCCCACAUUUUUUUGGAAAAUGUUUACAACAAGAAAUACAAAAAAGGGUUGAAAUUUGCACCUAAAAUCUUGUACCCCUCAUUAGACUAGAAAUUUUGGUGGGAAGCAGAUGGUGAUUUAGAUGCUGAUAUCCUAUAAAAAGCAAAAGUACCUUUCGGAUAUUUGAAAAUAAGAAAAUUAAGACUUUAAAAAAACUACUGAUUUGAAUUAAAAUAGAAGUGCUACCACCGCUUCUUUUGUCUGCCGUGUCUGAAAAUAUGUACGUAUGAAUUAGAGUUUUCAGUGGCCCUGGCAUUAUUCAAACUUUUAAAAAAUCAAUCAAGCAUUGAAAAUUAUAAAUUAUUAUAAAAUACUUAUUCACGUAUUUGUUUAAUCAGCAAACAUUGAUCAAUCAUCUUUGUUUUAGUUACCUGUUGCUGUAUAACAAAUUACCCCCAAAUAGAGCAAAUUAAACAACAAAUGUUUAUAUUUUACAGUUUCUGAGUGUCAGGAAUCUGAAAGAACUUAGGCUGAAGAUCUCUCAUAAGGCUGCAGUCAAGGUCUCAGCUAGGGUCAUCCGAAGGCUUGGGUGGCCCAAAGGGAUCCUUUUCCAAGCUCAUUCAUGUGGAUAUUGGCAGGAGACACUGUUUUCUCAUGCAGGGCUGUUCACAACAUGACAGUUGCCUGUACCCAGAUCAAAUGUUCCGAAAGAAAGAGAGUGAACCCCAAACAAAAGCUACCAUGUCUUUUAUAACCUAAUCUUGGAAGUGAUCUUAUCACUUCUGCAGUGUUCUUCUGAUGACACCGAUCACCCUUGGCACAAUGUAGGCAGUGAAUACCAGGAGGUGUGGGGCUCAGGGGGAGUGUAUUCGAGGCUCGUUUCCACAUCUACGUGCUCCACAUGCUGCUGAGCACUAGAUGCAAACAUGCAUGUUACUCAGACUCCCAUCCUUAAGAUUAUUUUUGUCAGGCAAUAAAUUCAGGAUCAGAUUUAUUUUUCUUGUUGUUCUGUUGAUAUUUCUAGUUACAGCACAACAGCACUCAGAUGAAAAUCAAUAUCCUUUAUAAAACUUUAUAUCUAAAGGAAUACUUUAGCAUAAUUUGGGAUAUAUAUCCUCAGAGAAUAAUUUAGGAUGAAACAUUCCUAGUUUUUUCUUUUCCUAUCCUCAAACUCAAAGCGAGGCAAGUCAAUGAUUAAGUGAGAUGUUCAACGCAGAAUGGAAGAAGCAGUUUCCAUUGGUCACGCUUUAUUUUUUAGGUAUCGAGCGCCAAUUUACUCAGCAGCUUCUUUGAAUCCCAGUUUAAGAUCUUUUAUUGCUUGAGAGGCUGUUAAAUUUGUAUAGUUAUCUAAUGAUUCACACACACACACAGAUGAAUUUUCCCUAGAAUUUCAGACAAAGGAAAUAGUAAUUUGAAUUUUAGUUGACUUCUCUUGGUUGAAUGUUUAUUUCGUCUUUACAUAUCCUGUUUCUUUUUCUUCCAUAAAAUAAAAUGAGAAAGGUGCUCAAACUUGUCGUUAGUCUUAUUUUAUUCUUUUACUUAAGGACUAAUCCAUUUGUCUACAGUCUCCCUCUUCUGCAAAAUAUGAUUAUGAGCAAGAGGGUUCAUGCAGAUCAACUUCCGUUAAAUUUUCUAUUUCAUAAGUAGUUCCGUUUCCUCAAACAUUGACUGAACAGCUAUCGUAAGUAAGAUACCAUAUACCAUAGUUUCAAGCAACAGAAACCCGCUUGCAACUUUCCAAGAAAAAUGGGGGCAUUUAUUCUAAGGACAUUGGGAGAUGUCGUGGAAUACAGAGAAGAGUUGUUCCUCCUUGCCUGUGCCGGGAGAUUCAUCUCCAUUGAUGCCUGUUUCAUUGUUUUUCCUCCCUGCAGACUGAAUCUCUUUUUUUCCCUCCCAUGCGUGGUUUGGAAAGGGCUCCUAAAAGGUUCUGCGUUUGCAUAUCACCUAUCCAGCCAUAAAGAUAGACUGACAAAUCUCAGAGCUCCAGCUCCAAAUUCACAGGGAAAGAGCUCUCAGUUAUGGUGGAAUUGUUCAUCUCUCUGUUCUUCAAACGAGUUUGACAGACACUGUGAAUGGCGGGGUUUUUGUCUGAUUGAUUCUGGACUAAUCAAUUGUGAUGGGGGUGGGAUCAUGUUUCUGAAUCCAACUACCUUCCUUCUACCAUGUGAGUGCAGCCCAGGAGUUUUUGCCUAGAAAAGCUUUGGUGGAUAAUAAGACUCCCAUUUGGACAUUUAGUGAUUUGAUAAAAGUCUAGUUAUUUUUCUUAUUCAUUGUGGAAUAUUCCCUUUAUGUGUAUUCUUCUCAUUGUCUUCUCUUUACCUGCCCUCUCCAACUUACAGGUCUUUUUUUUUAUGGUAAAAUCAUGUGCCCAAAUCUUCUUUAUUUACGUUGAAGAGAGUUUUUUGAUUUUGACUGUUCUAUGCAAUUGUAAAUUAAUCAAACUUGUUAAAACUUAGGGCACUGUAUAAAAUAUACCUAAUGUUAGUGUUAAAAGAAAAUACUGUACGGAAAAUAGCAACUUUAAAUAA
rnacentral:lncRNA from 1 species